ACUAGAAAUUCAUUUAUAAUUUACCUAUUUUAUAAACUUUUUUAUGUCUUUAAAGUCGUAUCUUAUGAAAUUUAGAUAAGAGGAUGAAGAAUGGGAAAAGACGGUGAGUUAUAAAAAAGGGAGAGAAGGCAAAAUGUGAGAUAGGCAGAGAAGAAUAAAUCAUGAAAAAAAGAGGAGAGACAAGAAGGAAAAGAAAGGACUCUUUCCCCAGAAGUAAGGACUAGAGAAAAAGCCAUCAGGAGCCAAUCUAGCUUCUUUCCUCCACUGUUGCUGUGUCAACUGUAAUUGACUGAUAUUUUUCAGGCUGGCUUGCAGACCUUAGAGGUUGUAGCCAUUAUUCUUUCCUGAAUACUCAUUACAUAGGCUCCUGUGCAGCCUCUUCCCUUCAGGGCUGCACUGACGAAGCUUCCUCAGUGUCAAAGCUUCUAAGCUUUCUAAAUGAGAGACUUCUGUUCUAAUCACAUUAGCUAUCAGAUGUUCUCACCAGUGUUAAUUCUCACCUGGAACAAAGUCCUUCUCUGUCUUUGUUACUCAUGUUGUCUCAUUUGGAGUAAAUUGAAAGUGUGGCUAACUGUAAAUCAGUAACCUGUGCCUCUCUCCGUGGAGUGUUUUGUUCUCUUCAGUGCUAUUCUGCUUCCCGAUUCUGCCACCUCAGGGAUUCUUCACAGUUGCCUGAAAGAGCCAGAGCCAGAUGGCAACAGGAGUGAGAAAGGUAGAAGAUGAAUGAUUGAGGAUGAAAAUUCCCUCAAGAGAUUUUAUUUGACCAACAUCAAUUCAAUGAAAGCUGUGAUUAAGAGGUUUCACACGGAUGGAGCUGGAAGCCAUUAUCCUCAGCAAACUAACACAGGAACAGAAAACCAAAUAGCGCAUCUUCUCACUUACAAGUGGGAGCUGAACAACGAGAACACAUGGACACAGGGAGGGAAAAAGCACACACCGGGGACUCUCAGGGGAGGGCAG
rnacentral:lncRNA from 1 species